rnacentral:rRNA from 1 species
UGGGGAAUAUUGCGCAAUGGGCGAAAGCCUGACGCAGCGACGCCGCGUGGGGGAGGAAGGCCUCAGGGUUGUAAACCCCUGUCAGGUGGGACGAACCCCGCUACGUCGAACAGGCGUAUCGAUUGACAGUACCACCAGAGGAAGCUCCGGCUAACUCCGUGCCAGCAGCCGCGGUAAUACGGAGGGAGCAAGCGUUGUUCGGAAUUACUGGGCGUAAAGGGCGCGUAGGCGGCCUCGUAAGUCGCAUGUGAAAGGCCGGGGCUCAACCCCGAGCACUGCAUGCGAUACUGCCUGGCUAGAGAGAGGUAGGGGCGAGCGGAAUUCCCGGUGUAGCGGUGGAAUGCGUAGAUAUCGGGAAGAACAUCUGUGGCGAAGGCGGCUCGCUGGACCUUUUCUGACGCUGAAGCGCGAAAGCGUGGGGAGCAA